AACAGGAUUAGAUACCCUGGUAGUCCACGCCGUAAACGAUGUCGACUUGGAGGUUGUGCCCUUGAGGCGUGGCUUCCGGAGCUAACGCGUUAAGUCGACCGCCUGGGGAGUACGGCCGCAAGGUUAAAACUCAAAUGAAUUGACGGGGGCCCGCACAAGCGGUGGAGCAUGUGGUUUAAUUCGAUGCAACGCGAAGAACCUUACCUACUCUUGACAUCCAGAGAACUUAGCAGAGAUGCUUUGGUGCCUUCGGGAACUCUGAGACAGGUGCUGCAUGGCUGUCGUCAGCUCGUGUUGUGAAAUGUUGGGUUAAGUCCCGCAACGAGCGCAACCCUUAUCCUUUGUUGCCAGCGGUUCGGCCGGGAACUCAAAGGAGACUGCCAGUGAUAAACUGGAGGAAGGUGGGGAUGACGUCAAGUCAUCAUGGCCCUUACGAGUAGGGCUACACACGUGCUACAAUGGCGCAUACAAAGAGAAGCGACCUCGCGAGAGCAAGCGGACCUCAUAAAGUGCGUCGUAGUCCGGAUUGGAGUCUGCAACUCGACUCCAUGAAGUCGGAAUCGCUAGUAAUCGUAGAUCAGAAUGCUACGGUGAAUACGUUCCCGGGCCUUGUACACACCGCCCGUCACACCAUGGGAGUGGGUUGCAAAAGAAGUAGGUAGCUUAACCUUCGGGAGGGCGCUUACCACUUUGUGAUUCAUGACUGGGGUGAAGUCGUAACAAGGUAGCCGUA
rnacentral:rRNA from 1 species